UACGUAGGGUGCGAGCGUAAUCGGAAUUACUGGGCGUAAAGCGUGCGCAGGCGGUUCGUUGUGUCGGUGGUGAAAGCCCCGGGCUUAACCUGGGAAUGGCCAUGGAAACUGGCGAACUGGAGUGUGGCAGAGGGGGUGGAAUUCCGCGUGUAGCAGUGAAAUGCGUAGAGAUGCGGAGGAACACCGAUGGCGAAGGCAGCCCCCUGGGCUAGCACUGACGCUCAGGCACGAAAGCGUGGGGAGCAAACAGG
rnacentral:rRNA from 1 species